rnacentral:rRNA from 1 species
GACGAACGCUGGCGGCGUGCUUAACACAUGCAAGUCGAACGGAAAGGCCCUGCUUUUGUGGGGUGCUCGAGUGGCGAACGGGUGAGUAACACGUGAGUAACCUGCCCUUGACUUUGGGAUAACUUCAGGAAACUGGGGCUAAUACCGGAUAGGAGCUCCUGCUGCAUGGUGGGGGUUGGAAAGUUUCGGCGGUUGGGGAUGGACUCGCGGCUUAUCAGCUUGUUGGUGGGGUAGUGGCUUACCAAGGCUUUGACGGGUAGCCGGCCUGAGAGGGUGACCGGCCACAUUGGGACUGAGAUACGGCCCAGACUCCUACGGGAGGCAGCAGUGAGGAAUAUUGCACAAUGGGCGGAAGCCUGAUGCAGCAACGCCGCGUGCGGGAUGACGGCCUUCGGGUUGUAAACCGCUUUCGCCUGUGACGAAGCGUGAGUGACGGUGAUGGGUAAAGAAGCACUGGCUAACUACGUG